CACUAUGCUUAGCCCUAAACAUAGAUAAUUUUACAACAAAAUAAUUCGCCAGAGGACUACUAGCAAUAGCUUAAAACUCAAAGGACUUGGCGGUGCUUUAUAUCCCUCUAGAGGAGCCUGUUCUAUAAUCGAUAAACCCCGAUAAACCUCACCACCUUUCGCUAAUUCAGUCUAUAUACCGCCAUCUUCAGCAAACCCUCAAAAGGUAGAACAGUAAGCACAAUCAUUUUACAUAAAAAAGUUAGGUCAAGGUGUAACUUAUGAGGUGGGAAGAAAUGGGCUACAUUUUCUACCCAAGAACAUUUCACGAAUGUUUUUAUGAAAUUAAAAACUGAAGGAGGAUUUAGUAGUAAAUUAAGAAUAGAGAGCUUAAUUGAAUAGGGCCAUGAAGCACGC
rnacentral:rRNA from 2 species